rnacentral:lncRNA from 1 species
AUCCCGAAGAUAUUGCAAUACCGGGCCCACCCGGGGCGGAGGUGAAGCAGACAUUAAGAACUCCCCAUAUAUAGGCCGAUCCCGAAGAUAUUGCAAUACCGGGCCCACCCGCGGCGGAGGUGAAGCAGACAUUAAGAACUCCCCAUAUAUAGGCCGAUCCCGAAGAUAUUGCAAUACCGGGCCCACCCGGGGCGGAGGUGAAGCAGACAUUAAGAACUCCCCAUAUAUAGGCCGAUCCCGAAGAUAUUGCAAUACCGGGCCCACCCGGGGCGGAGGUGAAGCAGACAUUAAGAACUCCCCAUAUAUAGGCCGAUCCCGAAGAUAUUGCAAUACCGGGCCCACCCGGGGCGGAGGUGAAGCAGACAUUAAGAACUCCCCAUAUAUAGGCCGAUCCCGAAGAUAUUGCAAUACCGGGCCCACCCGCGGCGGAGGUGAAGCAGGCAUUAAGAACUCCCCAUACGUAGGCCGAUCCCGAAAAUUCCGAAGCGCGCGUUAUAGGUUCCCGAGUCCACAGGGGUAUGUGCCAUUGAUCUUGGAGCCUUCUUGCACU